ACGCUAUCAGAUGGGUCCGCGUCCCAUUAGCUAGUUGGAGGUGUAAGAGACCCCCAAGGCGACGAUGGGUAGCCGGCCUGAGAGGGCGACCGGCCACACUGGAACUGAGACACGGUCCAGACUCCUACGGGAGGCAGCAGUGGGGAAUCUUCCGCAAUGGGCGAAAGCCUGACGGAGCAACGCCGCGUGAGGGACGAAGGCCUUCGGGUUGUAAACCUCUGUUUUCAAGGACGAACAGAUGACGGUACUUGAAGAGUAAGCUCCGGCUAACUACGUGCCAGCAGCCGCGGUAAUACGUAGGGAGCAAGCGUUGUCCGGAUUUACUGGGCGUAAAGGGCGUGUAGGUGGUGCAUUAAGUUAGAGGUGAAAUUACGGGGCUCAACCCCGGAG
rnacentral:rRNA from 1 species